AUACGGAGGGUGCAAGCGUUAUGCGGAAUCAUUGGGUUUAAAGGGUCCGUAGGCGGGCUAAUAAGUCAGGGGUGAAAUCCCACAGCUUAACUGUGGAACUGCCCUUGAUACUGUUGGUCUUGAGUUACAGUGAAGUGGUUAGAAUGUGUAGUGUAGCGGUGAAAUGCAUAGAGAAUACACAGAAUACCGAUUGCGAAGGCAGAUCACUAACUGUAUACUGACGCUAAUGGACGAAAGCGUGGGGAGCGAACAGGAUUAGAAACCCCAGUAGUCC
rnacentral:rRNA from 1 species